GAGUUUGAUCCUGGCUCAGAAUGAACGCUGGCGGCGUGGAUAAGACAUGCAAGUCGAACGGAAACACUGAUUAGUUUACUAAGAUGUGUUUUAGUGGCGGACGGGUUAGUAACACGUGAGCAACCUACCUCGAAGCGGGGGACAGCCUUCCGAAAGGGAGAUUAAUACCGCAUACGAUCUUCGGAUCAAAGGAGCCUUCGGGUUCCACUUCGAGAUGGGCUCGCGGCCUAUCAGCUAGUUGGUGAGGUAAAGGCUCACCAAGGCAACGACGGGUAGCUGGUCUGAGAGGAUGAUCAGCAACACUGGAACUGAGACACGGUCCGGACACCUACGGGUGGCAGCAGUCGAGAAUCAUUCACAAUGGACGAAAGUCUGAUGGUGCAACGCCGCGUGGAGGAUGAAGGCCCUAGGGUCGUAAACUCCUGUCAUAAUAGAGUAAGACAUAUUGGGUUAAUACCCUGGUAUGUUUGAUAGUAUAUUAAGAGGAAGGGACGGCUAACUUCGUGCCAGCAGCCGCGGUAAUACGAAGGUCCCGAGCGUUAUUCGGAAUCACUGGGCGUAAAGAGUACGUAGGCGGUUUGGUAAGUCAGGUGUGAAAUCCCGAAGCUCAACUUCGGAACUGCAUCCGAUACUGCCAGACUAGAGUAAUGGAGGGGCAGGUGGAAUUCUCGGUGUAGCAGUGAAAUGCGUAGAUAUCGAGAGGAAGACCAAUGGCGAANGCAGCCUGCUGGACAUUUACUGACGCUGAAGUAC
rnacentral:rRNA from 1 species